rnacentral:snRNA from 1 species
AACCUUACUUGUCUACAAAAUCAACCGUGAUCAAUAAGGUGGUUCCUUAGGGACGAUAGCCUUCCAUUGCACUCCGUUAAGCUUGACUUCCUCCAUUAUCUCCAAUGUGAAUAACUGGAUAGCAUAAUUUCUGUUAAUGGGGACCUGCGUGCACGCUAAUCUUCA